rnacentral:tRNA from 1 species
GAAAGUAUUGCUCAUUGGUAGAGCAUGUGCUUACCACGCAUGAAGUCCUGGGUUCAAUCCCCAGUACCUCCA